UCUCCGUAGGUGAACCUGCGGAGGGAUCAUUACAAGAGCGAGGGCCCUCGUGGCCCGAACCUCCAACCCCAUGUUGUCCGACUCUGUUGCCUCGGGGGCGACCCGGUCCUCUGGGUCCGGGGCCCCCGGUGGUCUAUUCAAACACUGCAUCUGUGCGUCUGAGUAAAGAUUAAAUCAAUCAAAACUUUCAACAACGGAUCUCUUGGUUCUGGCAUCGAUGAAGAACGCAGC
rnacentral:misc_RNA from 1 species